rnacentral:rRNA from 1 species
CCUACGGGAGGCAGCAGUGGGGAAUAUUGCGCAAUGGGCGAAAGCCUGACGCAGCGACGCCGCGUGAGGGAAGACGGUCUUCGGAUUGUAAACCUCUGUCUUUGGGGAAGAAAAUGACGGUACCCAAAGAGGAAGCUCCGGCUAACUACGUGCCAGCAGCCGCGGUAAU